GUGUCAGCAGCCGCGGUAAGAAGUAGGGGGCGAGCGUUGUCCGGAAUUACUGGGCGUAAAGCGCGUGCAGGCGGCUUUGUAAGUCCCGUGUGAAAGCCUACGGCUCAACUGUAGGAGGCCGCGGGAUACUGCGAGGCUCGAGGGCAGGAGAGGGAAGUAGAAUUCCCGGUGUAGCGGUGAAAUGCGUAGAUAUCGGGAGGAAUGCCAGUGGCGAAGGCGGCUUCCUGGCCUGCCCCUGACGCUGAGACGCGAAAGCUGGGGGAGCGAACGGGAUUAGAUACCCUUGUAGUCC
rnacentral:rRNA from 1 species